rnacentral:rRNA from 1 species
UACGUAGGGUGCAAGCGUUGUCCGGAAUUAUUGUGCGUAAAGAGCUCGUAGGCGGUCUGUCACGUCGGAUGUGAAAACUCAGGGCUUAACCCUGAGCUUGCAGUGGGUACGGGCAGACUAGAGUGCGGUAGGGGAGACUGGAAUUCCUGGUGUAGCGGUGAAAUGCGCAGAUAUCAGGAGGAACACCGGUGGCGAAGGCGGGUCUCUGGGCCGUAACUGACGCUGAGGAGCGAAAGCAUGGGGAGCGAACAGG